GAAAUGCGAUAAGUAGUGUGAAUUGCAGAAUUUAGCGAAUCAUCGAAUCUUUGAACGCACAUUGCGCCCCUUGGUAUUCCAUGGGGCAUGCCUGUUCGAGCGUCAUUUCAACCCUCAAGCACUGCUUGGUGUUGGGCGUUUGUCCCGCCUACGCGCGUGGACUCGCCUCAAAGUCAUUGGCAGCUGUUCCCCUUCGGCUCGUAAGCGCAGCACAGUCGGCGCCCGAGCUCUGGUGGGAUGGCGUCCAGCAAGCUAUAUUUUCAGGCUUGACCUCGGAUCAGGUAGGGAUACCCGCUGAACUUAAGC
rnacentral:misc_RNA from 1 species